UACAGAGGUCCCGAGCGUUGUUCGGAUUCACUGGGCGUAAAGGGUGCGUAGGUGGCCUGUUAAGUUUGAUGUGAAAGCUCAGGGCUUAACCCUGAAAUGGCAUUGAAUACUAGUGGCGGUGGAGGAUUGGAGGGGGGACGUGGAAUUCCUGGUGUAGAGGUGAAAUGCGCAGAUAUCAGGAAGGAACACCCAGUUGGCGA
rnacentral:rRNA from 1 species